GCAAGUCGAACGAAGGCCCGGAGCUUGCUCCGGUGUCCUUAGUGGCAGACGGGAUAGUAACGCGUGGGAAUUUGCUCAAUAGUACGGAAUAACUGCGGGAAACUGCAGCUAAUACCGUUUACGCCCUCCGGGGGAAAGAUUUAUCGCUAUUGGAUAAGCCCGCGUCGAAUUAGCUUGUUGGUGAGGUAAUGGCUCACCAAGGCGACGAUGCGUAGCUGGUCUGAGAGGACGAUC
rnacentral:rRNA from 1 species